rnacentral:rRNA from 1 species
UCCAGACUCCUACGGGAGGCAGCAGUGGGGGAUAUUGCACAAUGGGGGGAACCCUGAUGCAGCGACGCCGCGUGGGUGAAGGAGCGUUUCGGCGCGUAAAGCCCUAUCGGCAGGGAAGAAGGAGGACGGUACCUGACUAAGAAGCCCCGGCUAGCUACGUGCCAGCAGCCGCGGUAAUACGUAGGGGGCAAGCGUUAUCCGGAUUUACUGGGUGUAAAGGGGGCGCAGACGGCGAUGCAAGCCAGGAGUGAAAGCCCGGGGCCCAACCCCGGGACUGCUCUUGGAACUGCGUGGCUGGAGUGCAGGAGGGGCAGGCGGAAUUCCUGGUGUAGCGGUGAAAUGCGUAGAUAUCAGGAGGAACACCGGUGGCGAAGGCGGCCUGCUGGACUGCAACUGACGUUGAGGCCCGAAAGCGUGGGGAGCAAACAGGAUUAGAUACCCCUGUAUA